GACGAACGCUGGCGGCGUGGAUUAGGCAUGCAAGUCGAACGGUAUCAUCCUUUCGGGGGUGAGAGAGUGGCGAACUGGUGAGUAACACGUAGGUUAUCUACCCUCAAGACGGGGACAACCCAGGGAAACUUGGGCUAAUACCGGAUGUGAGCAACUUUUAGUUGUUUGAAAGGUGGCGUAAGCUGUCGCUUGGGGAUGAGCCUGCGUCCUAUUAGUUAGUUGGUGAGGUAACGGCUCACCUAGGCAAUGAUAGGUAGGCGGCCUUAACGGGUGGUCGCCCACACUGGGAUUGAGAUACGGCCCAGACUCCUACGGGAGGCAGCAGUCGAGAAUAGUCUACAAUGGUCGGAAGACUGAUAGUGCGACGCCGCGUGAACGAUGAAUCCCUUCGGGGUGUAAAGUUCUUUUAUAUGUGAGCAGUGCUUCUUAUAUUAACAGUAUGGGGAAGAGAUAUAGCAUAUGAAUAAGCAACGGCUAACUCCGUGCCAGCAGCCGACGGUAAUAC
rnacentral:rRNA from 1 species